GGGGAAUUUUCCGCAAUGGGCGAAAGCCUGACGGAGCAACGCCGCGUGAGGGAUGAAGGCCUCUGGGCUGUAAACCUCUUUUCUCAAGGAAGAAGACCUGACGGUACUUGAGGAAUAAGCCACGGCUAAUUCCGUGCCAGCAGCCACGGUAAUACGGGAGUGGCAAGCGUUAUCCGGAAUUAUUGGGCGUAAAGCGUCCGCAGGCGGCCCUGUAAGUCUGUUGUUAAAGCGUGGAGCUUAACUCCAUUUCAGCAAUGGAAACUACAGGGCUUGAGUGUGGUAGGGGCAGAGGGAAUUCCCGGUGUAGCGGUGAAAUGCGUAGAUAUCGGGAAGAACACCAGUGGCGAAGGCGCUCUGCUGGGCCAUAACUGACGCUCAUGGACGAAAGCCAGGGGAGCGAAAGGGAUUAGAUACCCCUGUAGUC
rnacentral:rRNA from 1 species